GCUUGAUCUGUUGACCAAAACUCUAGAGACAUCUUAGAUCCCUUUCUGUUACCACAAGAGGGUGUUUUAAAACUACCUUGCAAGUUCUCAUAACUAAAUACACUUAAAUCUCCAUUUGCUCUAAAACCAAGGCAGCAUGUCACAUGCAGAGCGGGCACAGUGCAUUUCAAAGGCUGACCUGACAGAGGGUGACCAGCAGCUGCGCAGGCGGGACAUUUGCCUUCUGUGUGUUCUUGGCUCCCCGACUCAGCCCUCCCGUGGUUUAUGGCAAGCGGUGCCUGAGCCCGUGCCUGUCUUCAGAUGUUCACAGCACAGUUCCUGGGAAGGUGGAGCCACCAGCCUCUCCCUGAAUAACUGGGAGAUGAAACAGGAAGCUCUAUGACACACUUGAUUGAAUAUGACAGACACCGAAAAUCAGGACUCAGCCCCCUCCAGCACCUCUACCUGUUGCCCGCCGAUCACAGAUGGGAUGCAGCUGAAAGAUUCCCCGGGGCCUGGUUCUGAUCGCCCGCUGUGGACUCUGAGGCCUCUGCAUUUGCGGGUGGUCUGCCUGUGAUAUUUUGGUCAUGGUCUGAUCUGGUCGGUUUCCCAUUUAUCUGGCCAGUCUCUGUGUGUCUUAAUCCCUUGUCCUUCAUUAAAAGCAAAACUAAAGAAAACAGAAUUGUUUGCUUAUUAGCUAUCUUUAAGCACUGAUUGAAAGGUGUUUGAGGG
rnacentral:lncRNA from 1 species